UACGUAGGGGGCAAGCGUUGUCCGGAUUUAUUGGGCGUAAAGAGCGUGUAGGCGGCCUGACAGGUCUGCUGUGAAAACUCGAGGCUCAACCUCGAGAUGUCGGCGGAAACCGUCUGGCUAGAGUCCGGAAGAGGAGAGUGGAAUUCCUAGUGUAGAGGUGAAAUUCGUAGAUAUUAGGAAGAACACCAGUGGCGAAGGCGGCUCACUGGCCCGGUACUGACGCUCAUGUGCGAAAGCGUGGGGAGCAAACAGG
rnacentral:rRNA from 1 species